rnacentral:misc_RNA from 1 species
GAUGAAGAACGCAGCGAAAUGCGAAAAGUAAUGUGAAUUGCAGAAUUCAGUGAACCAUCGAAUCUUUGAACGCACAUUGCGCCCACUGGAACUCCGGCGGGCACGCCUGUCCGAGCGUCAUUUCAACCCUCAGGCCCCCCUUCGCGGGCGGGCCUGGUGUUGGGGCCCGGCCGCUACCCUGCGGCCGUCCCCUAAAUCCAGUGGCGGCCUCGCCGUGAUCCCUUGCGUAGUAAUGCACCUCGCACCGGAGAGCGCCGUGGCCACGCCGUAAAACCCCCAAUUUUCAAUGGUUGACCUCGGAUCAGGUGGGAAUACCCGCUGAACUUAAGCAUAUCAAUAAGCGGAGGA